GGAAUUGUGGCUCAGUGGUAGAGCACUCGCCUAGCAUGUGUGAGGCCCCGGGUUCAAUUCUU
rnacentral:tRNA from 1 species